UUCUUGCGGAACCACUUGAAGAAGUUGGAUUUUCCAAAAUCUCUCACUCUCGUUAUAAAAAUGCUUCGCCUUUAAACUUUUUAAACCCUUCCUCACUCCCUCACCCUUGCUUGCAUGCUAUGCUUGCUGUCCGUCCGGCUUAGGGUUUCUCUGCAACUGCAACAGUGGCUUCGCGAGCUCAAUUCAACGAGCCCCCAUAAGGCACGCUAUUCCUUCAAAUCUACGUGUAUCCUCCCCAAAGAGAAACUUGAGGUUGAGUCUGAUGAUGAUGAUCACGACGAGCCAUGGCCUCCCAAGCUUUGAGAAAGACACUGAGCGAAGCCCCAUCCAGGAGCAUGUGUGAAA